rnacentral:lncRNA from 1 species
ACUGAUAUAGUCCCUGGUUACACCUUCGGCUGCAUCCAAAAGGCCACGGGCAACUCGGUGCCGCCCCAAGGCCUGUUGGGCCUGGGUCGUGGCUCAUUAUCCCUUUUGGCACAAACACAGAACCUCUAUCAGUCCACUUUUUCUUACUGUUUGCCCAGCUUCAAGGCACUUAGCUUUUCUGGGUCAUUAAGAUUAGGACCCAUUGGUCAGCCCAAGCGGAUUAAGUAUACACCAUUGCUUAAAAACCCAAGAAGAUCAUCACUUUACUAUGUUAAUUUGUUGGCCAUUAGGGUUGGCAGAAGAGUUGUUGAUAUCCCACCUGG